rnacentral:rRNA from 1 species
UGGAGAGUUUGAUCCUGGCUCAGGACGAACGCUGGCGGCGUGCCUAAUACAUGCAAGUCGAACGCUUCUUUUUCCACCGGAAAAAGAGGAGUGGCGAACGGGUGAGUAACACGUGGGUAACCUGCCCAUCAGAAGGGGAUAACACUUGGAAACAGGUGCUAAUACCGUAUAACAAUCGAAACCGCAUGGUUUUGAUUUGAAAGGCGCUUUCGGGUGUCGCUGAUGGAUGGACCCGCGGUGCAUUAGCUAGUUGGUGAGGUAACGGCUCACCAAGGCGACGAUGCAUAGCCGACCUGAGAGGGUGAUCGGCCACAUUGGGACUGAGACACGGCCCAAACUCCUACGGGAGGCAGCAGUAGGGAAUCUUCGGCAAUGGACGAAAGUCUGACCGAGCAACGCCGCGUGAGUGAAGAAGGUUUUCGGAUCGUAAAACUCUGUUGUUAGAGAAGAACAAGGAUGAGAGUAACUGUUCAUCCCUUGACGGUAUCUAACCAGAAAGCCACGGCUAACUACGUGCCAGCAGCCGCGGUA